UACGAAGGGGGGCUAGCGUUGCUCGGAAUGACUGGGCGUAAAGGGCGCGUAGGCGGCUCAUACAGUCAGGCGUGAAAUUCCUGGGCUCAACCUGGGGACUGCGCUUGAGACGUGUGGGCUUGAGUGGGGAAGAGGGUCGUGGAAUUCCCAGUGUAGAGGUGAAAUUCGUAGGUAUUGGGAAGAACACCGGUGGCGAAGGCGGCGACCUGGUCCUUGACUGACGCUGAGGCGCGAAAGCGUGGGGAGCAAACAGG
rnacentral:rRNA from 1 species